CACAGCCAUUUUCCAAUACAAUUAUUAACAGAGGUUUUGCUUUCAUUUCCAAAAUACUAACAACAGAUGAUGUGUCUGGUAGCUUGACCUUGGAGGCUUGGACACCAGUGAGUGGAGUGCGUAAAACAACAAUGGAGGAACUCGUGGAGCCUUCACAAUACAAUUGCUUGGCAAGUUUCAAAAGAUAUGGAUACUUAGACACUAGAGACGCCAUUUUAGACUGCAAAAUAUCUUCUAAACUGUCUGGAUUCUCAUUUAGCAGACACCUGAUCUCUUUCAACAAGUCACAGAUAAAGUUGUAUAGAUUGUCUAAUUUACCACAUUGUUUCAGCUGGAAUGGAAGCUCAUAUGCCUUUCUUAUAUUGCCAAUAUCAGUAUUUGCGAAAACCCACGGCUGGGAGGGAAGUUGGCAGUCAACAUAAAUCUUGGCAGGGACAUUGGGGCCAUCAGGAUUUAAACUAGGCUCUCCAUUUGGUGGAUUGUGCUUUGUUUUUAUUGAUACGGGCUUGGAUCUUCCACAUGCCCAGCGUCCACUAAAAUAGUUACUCAUAUUUACAUGCAAUGUAUUUUCUACAUCUGAGCUGCUUAGAUAUUGGCUAUAUACAACUUCCUGGUAAAUCCUGUUUGCCCAACACACAAUUUGGAAGCCUGUAACAAUUUUUUGAGACAGACAACCUUUUAAGUCAUGCAGGAUAUUGGCAACCAGCCCAUCUGGCACUCUGAAAGGGCUUACUGUAUCAUUUAAAUCAUGCAAGUGUGCAAGGACCAUGUUGUCUGCUGAUAAUAAAUCUACCAGUUCAGCUUCAGCAAUACCAGACCUGGACAAUGUGAUAUAACUUAAUGCUCGAAAGAGGAUGGCAUAGCCAUAUUUCAUCUCAAGUGCGCAGAACAAGUUUUCAAUGCUUUUAUGUAUAUUUUCUCCAAGGGAUGUAUUAUCUACA